rnacentral:rRNA from 1 species
GAUUAACGCUGGCGGCGUGCAUAACACAUGCAAGUCGAACGAUGAAACUUAACUGAACUCUUCGGAGUGAUUUUAAGUGGAUUAGUGGCGGACGGGUGAGUAACGCGUGAGUAACCUGCCUUGGAGAAGGGGAUAGCCUUUGGAAACGAAGAAUAAUACCCUAUGAUAUGACAAUCUCGCAUGGGAAUGUCAUCAAAGAUUUAUCGCUCUAAGAUGGACUUGCGUCUGAUUAGUUAGUUGGUGAGGUAACGGCUCACCAAGACAGCGAUCAGUAGCCGGCUUGAGAGAGUGUACGGCCACAUUGGGACUGAGACACGGCCCAGACUCCUACGGGAGGCAGCAGUGGGGAAUUUUGCACAAUGGGGGAAACCCUGAUGCAGCGACGCCGCGUGAUUUAGAAGGCCUUCGGGUUGUAAAAAUCUUUUGUAUGGGAAGAAAAUGACAGUACCAUACGAAUAAGGACCGGCUAAUUACGUGCCAGCCGCCGCCGUAACAC